rnacentral:rRNA from 1 species
UUUUUGAACUGCUCAGACGACGCUGCGGCGUGCUAUACAUGCAAGUCGAGCGGACAGAUGGGAGCUUGCUCCUGAUGUAGCGGCGGACGGGUGAGUAACACGUGGGUAACCUGCCUGUAAGACUGGGAUAACUCCGGGAAACCGGGGCUAAUACCGGGAUGGUUGUUUGAACCGCAUGGUUCAAACAUAAAAGGUGGCUUCGGCUACCACUUACAGAUGGACCCGCGGCGCAUUAGCUAGUUGGUGAGGUAACGGCUCACCAAGGCAACGAUGCGUAGCCGACCUGAGAGGGUGAUCGGCCACACUGGGACUGAGACACGGCCCAGACUCCUACGGGAGGCAGCAGUAGGGAAUCUUCCGCAAUGGACGAAAGUCUGACGGAGCAACGCCGCGUGAGUGAUGAAGGUUUUCGGAUCGUAAAGCUCUGUUGUUAGGGAAGAACAAGUACCGUUCGAAUAGGGCGGUACCUUGACGGUACCUAACCAGAAAGCCACGGCUAACUACGUGCCAGCAGCCGCGGUAAUACGUAGGUGGCAAGCGUUGUCCGGAAUUAUUGGGCGUAAAGGGCUCGCAGGCGGUUUCUUAAGUCUGAUGUGAAAGCCCCCGGCUCAACCGGGGAGGGUCAUUGGAAACUGGGGAACUUGAGUGCAGAAGAGGAGAGUGGAAUUCCACGUGUAGCGGUGAAAUGCGUAGAGAUGUGGAGGAACACCAGUGGCGAAGGCGACUCUCUGGUCUGUAACUGACGCUGAGGAGCGAAAGCGUGGGGAGCGAACAGGAUUAGAUACCCUGGUAGUCCACGCCGUAAACGAUGAGUGCUAAGUGUUAGGGGGUUUCCGCCCCUUAGUGCUGCAGCUAACGCAUAAGCACUCCGCUGGGAGAU